AGCUCUGUAAGCGUAUACCAAAGUUGUUGCAGUUAAAACGCUCGUAGUCGAACGUUGGCGGGCGUUGCAAGUCGGCUUUACGGCUGUUCUUGCGGCGGCCGCCUUUGUGGAGGGGGGCUUCGUGGUGCUUCAUUGCCUCGCGGAGUUUCUGCCACUUUUUACUGUGAAAAAAUUAGAGUGCUUAAAGCGGGCGUUUGCCAUGAAUACAUUAGCAUGGAAUAAUAGAAUAGGACCUGGUCCUGUUUUGUUGGUUUGUUUUGUAUCAGGUAAUGAUUAAGAGGGACGGUCGGGGGCAUUUGUAUUGCGGCGUUAGAGGUGAAAUUCUUGGAUCGCCGCAAGACAAACAGCUGCGAAAGCGUCUGCCAAGGACGUUUUCA
rnacentral:rRNA from 1 species